ACGGAGGCAGCAGUGGGGGAUAUUGCACAAUGGGCGAAAGCCUGAUGCAGCGACGCCGCGUGAGGGAAGGAGGUUUUCGGAUUGUAAACCUCUGUCAUCGGGGACGAUAAUGACUGUACCCGAGAAGGAAGCUCCGGCUAACUACGUGCCAGCAGCCGCGGUAAUACGUAGGGAGCGAGCGUUAUCCGGAAUUACUGGGUGUAAAGGGAGUGUAGGCGGGACUGUAAGUCAGAUGUGAAAUAUGCCGGCUCAACUGGCAGACUGCAUUUGAAACUGCGGUUCUUGAGUGAAGUAGAGGUAAGCGGAAUUCCUAGUGUAGCGGUGAAAUGCGUAGAUAUUAGGAGGAACAUCAGUGGCGAAGGCGGCUUACUGGGCUUUAACUGACGUUGAGGCUCGAAAGUGUGGGGAGCAAACAGGAUUAGAUACCCUGGUA
rnacentral:rRNA from 1 species